rnacentral:rRNA from 1 species
CAGUCGCCGCGGUAAUACGAAGGGGGCUAGCGUUGCUCGGAAUCACUGGGCGUAAAGGGCGCGUAGGCGGACUGAUAAGUCAGGGGUGAAAUCCCAAGGCUCAACCUUGGAACUGCCUUUGAUACUGUUUGUCUUGAGUUCGAGAGAGGUAAGUGGAACUGCGAGUGUAGAGGUGAAAUUCGUAGAUAUUCGCAAGAACACCAGUGGCGAAGGCGGCUUACUGGCUCGAAACUGACGCUGAGGCGCGAAAGCGUGGGGAGCAAACAGGAUUAGAUACCCGAGUAGUCCCUGUCUCUUAUAC